UAGAAAUAUAACGAUUGUUUGAUAAUGUAUUAACGUUACAAAGAUAUUGUAAUGAUCAUCGAACACAUAUAAGAGAAUCAUAAAAGGUGCAUUGUCCCCUAUGAUGCAUGCAAGCAUUGAAAUUUCCAGCUCGUAGAAUAACGGGAGACACAAACGCACGGCGAAGCAAUGAUCUCUAGUAUUCGCAUUGUUGGCAAAUGCACGUCGUUCACUUUUACUAACGCGGUCAAGCUAAAUGCUUCUACGAUUAUUCUCUCUGUAACAGAUAUAAAAUACGAAGAGUAUGAAAAUGUUAAAAGGAAGAAAUUACAAAAAAAAAGAAAAAAAAUAUAGCAACGAACACGAUCAUUUAUAAUCAUAUGAAAAUAUUUAAUUUAUUUAUUAAUUUUCAAAUUUAUCAAAAAAGUUGUACGAUUUUCAAAAUAAAUUCGGAUAUACGCGUGAAUCAUUCUUCUGAAUAUAUGUUUACAUUUAAAGAACAUUUGAUCGUGCAGACACUCCGUACUUUAAAUUCCAAAGGAGAAGAAAUAAGAGAUAGAUAGAUAAAUAAAUAGAUAGAUAGAGAGAGAGAGAGAGAGAGAGAAGGGGGGAAGGGAGGAAGAAAAAGUAAGAAAAAUUCUUUCCCGUACACAGAUUGAGAGCAUGGCAGUUCACUUCCGACACGUAGUAUACAGCUAUAUAGCAUGCAUUAGACGCAUUCAAGGUCGAUCAAGAGAACUGGAGCAUGUUACGAGGACUUCUGAUAAGCGUUGCAAACUUGCCGUAAUUAUUCGAGGCCGUUUCUUUACUUGCUCGUUGAAAAGAAAGCCUGUUUUU